GAUGAACGCUGGCGGCGUGCUUAACACAUGCAAGUCGAACGGUGAAGCAGGAGCUUGCUCCUGUGGAUCAGUGGCGAACGGGUGAGUAACACGUGAGCAAUCUGCCCUGGACUCUGGGAUAAGCGUUGGAAACGACGUCUAAUACCGGAUACGAGGCGUGGGGGCAUCCCCAACGCCUGGAAAGAACUUCGGUCCAGGAUGAGCUCGCGGCCUAUCAGGUAGUUGGUGAGGUAAUGGCUCACCAAGCCUACGACGGGUAGCCGGCCUGAGAGGGUGACCGGCCACACUGGGACUGAGACACGGCCCAGACUCCUACGGGAGGCAGCAGUGGGGAAUAUUGCACAAUGGGCGCAAGCCUGAUGCAGCAACGCCGCGUGAGGGACGACGGCCUUCGGGUUGUAAACCUCUUUUAGCAGGGAAGAAGCGAAAGUGACGGUACCUGCAGAAAAAGCACCGGCUAACUACGUGCCAGCCGCCGCCGUAACAC
rnacentral:rRNA from 1 species